UACGUAGGGGGCAAGCGUUGUCCGGAUUAUUGGGCGUAAAGAGCGUGUAGGCGGCCAGACAGGUCAGCUGUGAAACUCGAGGCUCAACCUCGAGACGUCGGUUGAAACCGUCUGGCUAGAGUCCGGAAGAGGAGAGUGGAAUUCCCGGUGUAGCGGUGAAAUGCGCAGAUAUCGGGAAGAACACCCGUGGCGAAGGCGGCUCUCUGGGACGGUACUGACGCUGAGACGCGAAAGCGUGGGGAGCGAACAGG
rnacentral:rRNA from 1 species